rnacentral:rRNA from 1 species
GACGAACCGAGCGAACGUUGUUCGGAAUCACUGGGCUUAAAGGGCGCGUAGGCGGGCUGUCAAGUUUGGGGUGAAAUCCCGCGGCUCAACCGUGGAACUGCCUCAAAUACUGACGGUCUCGAGGGAGGUAGGGGCGAGCGGAACUGUGAGUGGAGCGGUGAAAUGCGUUGAUAUUCACAGGAACUCCGGCGGCGAAGGCGGCUCGCUGGACCUCUUCUGACGCUGAGGCGCGAAAGCUAGGGGAGCAAACGGG